GCGGAUGUAGCUCAGUUGGUAGAGCGCAAGCUUCCCAAGCUUGAGGUCGCGGGUUCGAACCCCGUCGUCCGCU
rnacentral:tRNA from 1 species